UACGGAGGGGGCUAGCGUUGUUCGGAAUUACUGGGCGUAAAGGGCGUGUAGGCGGCGCGGUAAGUCAGGCGUGAAAGCCCCGGGCUCAACCUGGGAAUUGCGCUUGUUACUGCCGUGCUCGAGUCCGGGAGAGGAUAGCGGAAUUCCCAGUGUAGAGGUGAAAUUCGUAGAUAUUGGGAAGAACACCAGUGGCGAAGGCGACUAUCUGGACCGGCACUGACGCUGAGGCGUGAAAGCGUGGGGAGGAAACAGG
rnacentral:rRNA from 1 species